UACACUCCUACGGGAGGCAGCAGUGGGGAAUUUUGGACAAUGGGCGAAAGCCUGAUCCAGCAAUGCCGCGUGAGUGAAGAAGGCCUUCGGGUUGUAAAGCUCUUUUGUCAGGGAAGAAACGGUGAAAGCUAAUAUCUUUUGCUAAUGACGGUACCUGAAGAAUAAGCACCGGCUAACUACGUGCCAGCAGCCGCGGUAAUACGUAGGGUGCAAGCGUUAAUCGGAAUUACUGGGCGUAAAGCGUGCGCAGGCGGUUUUGUAAGUCUGAUGUGAAAUCCCCGGGCUCAACCUGGGAAUUGCAUUGGAGACUGCAAGGCUAGAAUCUGGCAGAGGGGGGUAGAAUUCCACGUGUAGCAGUGAAAUGCGUAGAUAUGUGGAGGAACACCGAUGGCGAAGGCAGCCCCCUGGGUCAAGAUUGACGCUCAUGCACGAAAGCGUGGGGAGCAAACAGGAUUAGAAACCCUAGUAGUCCC
rnacentral:rRNA from 1 species